UACGGAGGGUGCAAGCAUUAAUCGGAUUUAUUGGGCGUAAAGGGCGCGUAGGCGGGGAUGAAAGUCAGAUGUGAAAUCCUGGGGCUCAACCUCAGAAUAGCAUUUGAAACUGUAUCUCUAGAGGGUAGGCGGAGAAAACGGAAUUCCACAAGUAGCGGUGAAAUGCGUAGAUAUGUGGAAGAACACCGGUGGCGAAGGCGGUUUUCUAGCUUAAACCUGACGCUGAGGCGCGAAAGCAAGGGGAUCAAAC
rnacentral:rRNA from 1 species